GCAGUGGCUCCAACCGGAAGGGCGGUGCUCGAGCUGUGGUGCGUGCCGCUAAGUUGUGCGUUCCCGGGUGCACUCGCCGGCGAGGCUGCAUGGCGGCGGUUUCAUUGCUAAAAUCCGACGGACUUGUUGCAGAACUCGUUUUUUUGUCGGGAAAGGGCUUCCCCGUGUAACUUUACACCAGUUAUCGUAGAUAAGACUUGAAAAUUACAGAGGUGGACGGUGAGGGAACGGGAAUUUCACUGAAAGCGCCUGAGAACCAGUAAGAGACCUGCAACAGCUUUGUGCUCCACUGGCGAAUGCUUCCUCCCCUAAUACACAUUAUGUGUGUUUGGAGACACAAGGAGUAAGAUACAGCCCCUCAAGGGACUCGUCAUAGGGAGAGGACACAGCUUUGGGAAUAAAGGGGCCACAAAGGAGGAGAGAGGAGUUUGCUGAAACUUCCCAAGCUCCCAUUCCAGCAGUUCCUGAAGGGCUGGACAAUGGAGGAGGCUUGAAACAGUAGCUGGCAAGUGGUAGAAGAGAUGGAGCAGAGAAGCAAGAAGAAGCAGACUCCUCACUCCUUCACCAGGGUGGAUUUGCUGGUUUCAAGCAGACCUGAGUUGGGAGAGGGGAGAGGCGAGAAGUUUUAAUUGGAUGAAAUAUUUCUUUAGACUGGUCUAUACUUUUUUCUUUAUAUCUAAAAUUCACUGGAAGAGCUAUGAAAUCUGUCCAAGAUUUCGUUCAGUUCAGGAAAAACCAAAACCAAAACCAAAACCAGUGAGUUUAUAAAGGAAGUUUAUGGUGGAUUUUUAAAAAUUAUUUUGAUAACUGACAUUGGGGUAUUCUCCAUCUUAUGAGUCUGAAAAUAUUUCUUCGCAGCCAGGUAAUACACAUGUGACUCAGACCAAAGAAGUAUGUGUCCAAGACCUCAAGUUGAAAGCUGUGGACUGCGGAGGGACUCUCUGGUGAAGUUGUUGCAAGCAUGAUUAAUUUAUUGGGGCAGCAAUGGCAGCCAAGCCAGUGGUGGUAUCCUGUGUCCAGGAGUGGUAUUGGUGAUUCAGUUUGCAGCCUCUGAGGUACAAGGAUAAGGAAAAUGGUGACCAGAUCAGUUUUGCUGCCUCAGAUUAGACAUAAUUUCAAGCUGUAUAUCUCUAAUCCUCCUAAUAAUUCUAUGACCUACAUGAUAUCCUUUAAAUAAAUGACUUAUCAUUUAAAA